CCUACGGGUGGCUGCAGUGGGGAAUAUUGCACAAUGGGCGAAAGCCUGAUGCAGCGACGCCGCGUGGAGGAUGAAGGUUUUCGGAUUGUAAACUCCUGUUAAGUGGGAAGAAAGGUCCAUACCUAAUACGUAUGGGAGAUGACGGUACCACUAGAGAAAGCACCGGCAAACUUCGUGCCAGCAGCCGCGGUAAUACGAAGGGUGCGAGCGUUAUUCGGAAUAACUGGGUGUAAAGAGUGUGUUGGCGGUUUUUUAAGUCAGUUGUUAAAGCGCCC
rnacentral:rRNA from 1 species